UUGAAUUAUAUAGCAACAGUAACUCCUCGACCUUAAAUUCCCUCUUCUCAUUUAUCUUAUCACGGUAUAAUUUCAUUCUGUCUUCAUAGAGGGAAGUCCUCUCAUUAGAUCAAAGAAAAAAUUCAUCCAUCUCAUUCAGUAGUUCCAACCUCAAAUCAGCAGCCUAGCUCCAACUUAGAUUAAGCUUUUUGAGAUCCCA
rnacentral:lncRNA from 1 species